rnacentral:lncRNA from 1 species
UAGUUAGGACACUGUUUCUGGGAAAUCCCAUCUAAGGCCAAGAAUAGGCCUGUAUUUGUGGACUGGCUCUCCUGGAGGCAGGAGGACCACACACAGCUAUGAUCCUGCCGAAGGAGUCAUGUAAAUGUGUGUGCCUUGGGCAGCUGUCAGGCUGUCCUGGGCUGGUCUCCCUUCUCCAAGGAGGACUUCAGGAGGAAGGUUGUGAACUAUGGAAAAGCAUCAGUGAACACAGUGGCCCUGGCUGCUGGCAGCUUUGA